rnacentral:rRNA from 1 species
UGCGGGGGGGGCAAGCGUUGUUCGGAAUUACUGGGCGUAAAGCGCACGUAGGCGGCUUUCUAAGUCGGGGGUGAAAUCCUGGAGCUCAACUCCAGAACUGCCUUCGAUACUGGAAAGCUCGAGUCCGGGAGAGGUGAGUGGAACUGCGAGUGUAGAGGUGAAAUUCGUAGAUAUUCGCAAGAACACCAGUGGCGAAGGCGGCUCACUGGCCCGGUACUGACGCUGAGGUGCGAAAGCGUGGGGAGCAAACAGG